CAAACGAAUUACGGACUAUACACUGACAGGGGAAAAACCAUGAAUUUUGUACUUUUAGAUUCCGAGCGUAACGAGGAGAACUAUCGGUUUUACUAAGAUGUUUAUUUUUUUUUCUUUCUUUCAUUGUUCUAGUCUGUGGACACGUUUUUUCGUAGUAAACUUGCUCCGAUGUAUAAGUGUAGUACCUUUUCUGAAAGCCCAAGUUCCUAAGACUUAAACUUCAAGUCAUGUUUUGAUUUUCUACACCGUUUU